rnacentral:rRNA from 1 species
CCUAUGGGUGGCAGCAGUGGGGGAUAUUGCACAAUGGGGGAAACCCUGAUGCAGCGACGCCGCGUGGGUGAAGAAGCGCCUCGGCGCGUAAAGCCCUGUCAGCAGGGAAGAAAAUGACGGUACCUGAAGAAGAAGCCCCGGCUAACUACGUGCCAGCAGCCGCGGUAAUACGUAGGGGGCAAGCGUUAUCCGGAUUGACUGGGUGGAAAGGGGGCGCAGACGGCGAUGCAAGCCAGGAGUGAAAGCCCGGGGCCCAACCCCGGGACUGCUCUGGGAACUGCGUGGCUAGAGUGCAGGAGGGGCAGGCGGAAUUCCUGGGGUAGCGGUGAAAUGCGUAGAUAUCAGGAGGAACACCGGUGGCGAAGGCGGCCUGCUGGACUGCAACUGACGUUGAGGCCCGAAAGCGUGGGGAGCAAACAGGAUUAGAUACCCCUGUAGUC